rnacentral:rRNA from 1 species
CCUACGGGAGACAGCAGUGAGGAAUAUUGGUCAAUGGGCUUACGCCUGAACCAGCCAAGUCGCGUGAGGGAGGACGGCCCUACGGGUUGUAAACCUCUUUUGCCGGGGAGCAACGGGCGUCACGUGUGGCGCCACUGAGAGUCCCCGGAGAAAAAGCAUCGGCUAACUCCGGGCCAGCAGCCGCGGUAAUACGGGGGAUGCGAGCGUUAUCCGGUUUUAUUGGGUUUAAAGGGUGCGUAGGCGGAUCGUUAAGUCAGUGGUCAAAUUGAGGGGCUCAACCCCUUCCCGCCAUUGAAACUGGCGUUCUUGAGUGGAAGAGAAGUAUGCGGAAUGCGUGGUGUAGCGGUGAAAUGCAUAGAUAUCACGCAGAACCCCGAUUGCGAAGGCAGCAUGCCGGCUUCCGACUGACGCUGAAGCACGAAAGCGUGGGGAUCGAACAGGAUUAGAUACCCUAGUAGUC